GGAAACUUACCUUUCCUGCUCUUCACUGACUUCUUGAUUCUCGUGGCUUUGGCUGCUAUUUUGCCUUGCUUUGCUCUGCUGUGCUAUGCACUGCUUUCUCUGUAUUUCUUGCCAUCCACUCCUUCCUUCGAGUUAUUCUUUACUUUUUGACUGGCUUUUUUCUUCUUUUCUCUUUACCUUUCUUCUCUUGUCAUUAUUCGUUUUUCCUUUUGUUUUUUCUUUUUUCAUCUACUGUUUUUUUUUUCUUUUUCUUUUUUUUCAUAUUUUUCUGUCCUCUUUUUUUUUCUAUUUUCUUUUUUCUUUUCUCUUUUCUUUAUCUUUUUUUUUUUUUAUCUUUUCUCUUUUUCUCUUUUUGUUCAUGUUCUUUUUUUCUUUUCUCUUUUCUCUUUUUUUUUCUUCUCUUUUUCUUUUUUUUUUCAUUUUUUUUUUCUUUCUCUUUUUUCUCUUUUUUUCAUUUUUUUCUCUUUUUACUCUUUUUUGUUCAUUUUUUUUCUUUUCUCUUUUUUCUCUUUUUUUCAUUUUUUUCUCUUUUUACUCUUUUUUGUUCAUUUUUUUCUUUUUUUCUUUUCAUUUUUUCUCUUUUUCUUAUUUUUCUUUUCUUUUUUCUCUUUUUCAUAUUUUUGUUCUUAUUUUUUCUUUUCUUUUUU
rnacentral:lncRNA from 7 species